GAUGAACGCUGGCGGCGUGCCUAAUACAUGCAAGUCGAGCGAAUGGAUUAAGAGCUUGCUCUUAUGAAGUUAGCGGCGGACGGGUGAGUAACACGUGGGUAACCUGCCCAUAAGACUGGGAUAACUCCGGGAAACCGGGGCUAAUACCGGAUAACAUUUUGAACCGCAUGGUUCGAAAUUGAAAGGCGGCUUCGGCUGUCACUUAUGGAUGGACCCGCGUCGCAUUAGCUAGUUGGUGAGGUAACGGCUCACCAAGGCAACGAUGCGUAGCCGACCUGCGAGGGGGAUCGGCCACACGGGGACUGAGACACGGCCCAGACUCCUACGGGAGGCAGCAGUAGGGAACCUUCCGCAAUGGACGAAAGUCUGACGGAGCAACGCCGCGUGAGUGAUGAAGGCUUUCGGGUCGUAAAACUCUGUUGUUAGGGAAGAACAAGUGCUAGUUGAAUAAGCUGGCACCUUGACGGUACCUAACCAGAAAGCCACGGCUAACUACGUGCCAGCAGCCGCCGCCG
rnacentral:rRNA from 1 species